rnacentral:rRNA from 1 species
UACACAUGCAGUCGACGGUAACAGGUCUUCGGAUGCUGACGAGUGGCGAACGGGUGAGUAAUACAUCGGAACGUGCCCGAUCGUGGGGGAUAACGGAGCGAAAGCUUUGCUAAUACCGCAUACGAUCUACGGAUGAAAGCAGGGGACCGCAAGGCCUUGCGCGGACGGAGCGGCCGAUGGCAGAUUAGGUAGUUGGUGGGAUAAAAGCUUACCAAGCCGACGAUCUGUAGCUGGUCUGAGAGGACGACCAGCCACACUGGGACUGAGACACGGCCCAGACUCCUACGGGAGGCAGCAGUGGGGAAUUUUGGACAAUGGGCGAAAGCCUGAUCCAGCCAUGCCGCGUGCAGGAUGAAGGCCUUCGGGUUGUAAACUGCUUUUGUACGGAACGAAAAGACUCCUUCUAAUAAAGGGGGUCCAUGACGGUACCGUAAGAAUAAGCACCGGCUAACUACGUGCCAGCAGCCGCGGUAAUACGUAGGGUGCAAGCGUUAAUCGGAAUUACUGGGCGUAAAGCGUGCGCAGGCGGUUAUAUAAGACAGAUGUGAAAUCCCCGGGCUCAACCUGGGAACUGCAUUUGUGACUGUAUAGCU